GCCUUUUCGAUAUGUCACUUCAGUUCGUUGCUCGUGGUUCUUUCGAUGUUAGUGAAGUCUUACAAAAAGUUUUAAUUGUAAUUUUAUCUGUCGACUGCUACUUUUGAUAUUUGCCAAGAUUAUAAAAAAUAUACGCACCGAAUUGUUAAUGGAGGUUGGUUUCGAAUAGAACAUGAUGUUUUUUGAGUUGCAUAGAAAGCUUCUCAGGUUUGAGUAAUAUCACCGCAUGUCGAUGAAAACUAAAAAUGUUUUAACCAGGCAUGAGAUCCCGGUGAGGAAACCCUAUUCUACAUGAUGGAGGCCCAUGUGAAUGUUUUAUUGUACAAAACCAUUCUAUAUUUAGUAAAUACAUGAGGUAACUUGAGUGAGAAUUUGUGGAUGUAAGUACCUGCAUGUUUUAUAUCGCAAUGGAUAUAUUUCUGAUUAGUGUAAUUAAAUGUUCAUGAAACACUUUACGGCAAAUGUCAUUCGUAGCACAUGAUUGAAAUCUUAGCCAUUUGAUCUACUAAUAAACCUGGAUUCUGCAAGUUAAUGAAAUAUGCAUCUUUAUUUUCUAAUAUCUUUCAGUAAUUAUUGCCUGUUUGAUCAUGAGUUUAGCAGUUAAUUCACGAUGUACAAAUCUUUCUAUCGCCAACAAAUAUAGUUACCACGCUAUUCAUCCUGCUAUCUAUAAAAUGUUUAAAUUUGAUAUUAAUCUAUCAUG